rnacentral:tRNA from 1 species
AUAUAGCUCAGAGGCAGAGCGCUUGCCUAGCAUGCAUGAGAACCUGGGUUUAAUUCCCAGUAU